rnacentral:snoRNA from 1 species
UAACAUGAUGAUUAACAAAAUUUCUUCACUUUGACCUGAAAGUCAUUGAUGAAAUUUUAUAAUCUGAUG